GACGAACGCUGGCGGCGUGCCUAAUACAUGCAAGUCGAACGAACGGAUAAAGAGCUUGCUCUUUUGAAGUUAGUGGCGGACGGGUGAGUAACACGUGGGUAACCUGCCUCACAGCUGGGGAUAACAUCGAGAAAUCGAUGCUAAUACCGAAUGUGCUGAACAUCAUAAGAUGUUCAAGUGAAAGACGGUUUCGGCUGUCACUGUGAGAUGGACCCGCGCUGGAUUAGCUAGUUGGUAAGGUAAUGGCUUACCAAGGCGACGAUCCAUAGCCGACCUGAGAGGGUGAUCGGCCACAUUGGGACUGAGACACGGCCCAAACGCCUAAGGGAGGCAGCAGUAGGGAAUCUUCGGCAAUGGACGAAAGUCUGACCGAGCAACGCCGCGUGAGCGAAGAAGGCCUUCGGGUCGUAAAGCUCUGUUGUUAGAGAAGAACAUGGGUGAGAGUAACUGUUCACCCCUUGACGGUAUCUAACCAGAAAGCCACGGCUAACUACGUG
rnacentral:rRNA from 1 species